UUGCAGCAAGAUGAGAAGGAUAAUACCAUAAUUGUAUUACAUGUUGCUGCAGCUCUUGCGGUUGCUACUUCUCCAUUAGGGUGUGCUAAUUGUUGAUGUCCAGUAGGAGCAAUUAUGAUAGGUGCAGGCAUCUUGUACCCCAACAAGGUGGUUGACAUAUCUAUUUUACUGACAUCUACAAGAACCCUUGGUCGUAACAUUAUUCUUUGAAAUGCGCAAAUGUUCUCUUUCAAGGUAGUUUGAUCCUCAGCUCCUCCUCUGAAGUAAUCAUAGUUCAUUUUCGGAAGGGCGUGCCUAGCAAGUUCUUCGAACUCACUUACAUUAACUGGGUCUGACGCCAUGUUCCCUUGAAUUCUGCUGAAUAGAUUUGGGGA
rnacentral:misc_RNA from 1 species